GGGGGGAGUGCCGGAUCCUGGGCCGUGUCCCCCGGCUCCUUGUGGGCCUGCGCUGCUGGAAUCGCCCUCCCGGCCCCGCAGCCCCCU
rnacentral:pre_miRNA from 1 species